CACGCUCCCCCGCUCGCACGCGGCUUUGCCCCAGCACGCAGCGCCGGCGGGGAGGUGGGGACGGGGCCUCCUCCUUCCUGUUCUCCCGCUCCCAGAGCCUCCUCCCUUUGUCCUCCUUCUCCCGAGGCCUCCUCCUCCCUUCUGUCCUCCCUCUCCUGGAGGAGGAGGCGGAGGAGCUGGGGCACGCAGGAGGUUUCCUGCUCCUUGCUCGUGCAGGUCCAGGCAGAGCCCGGCUGUGAUGUACUCCUUGUGCUCCUUGCUGACGGGGACCUGAGUCAGCCAUGACACCUUGUCUGGGCUCCCCAAGCACGGGCACGUGGCCCCUGGGAGCUGACGUGGCCGUACAUCAGGGACUUCAGAAGCACACAGUGAUGAGUGACCUUCACCAGCUGCACCAAGGUACUAAUGGAACCAGAUGACCAAACUCUGCGGCAGAAUGCAAUCUGACUUGCUUCUCUCCAAGAAAACAGCACCACUUUCCCCCAGUUUAACCCAGCGAGGAUGUAAAGCUGCGAGAUUUGGAUGGAAUGCCACGAAACAGAAGCAAGCUAUGAGAUAGCACGGGAAUUGCGUUCUCCAGGUGGGACAGAGCUUGGGAGGAGAGCACCCUCUCAAGGAAAACCUCAUCUGGAAAAACCUCCUGGCACGUUGCUGGGAGGGAUGGGCUGAGCCAUACUGGGAACCUGUCUGGAUGAAUCAAAACUGUUGUGAAAGAGCCCCUGGGUGGCUGGGAAGAGGGGGAGCUUGGUGGAGGUGGCUGGGAGAAGCAAACACCAUCAGACAGCCUCGCCAUCACCGUCGCCCAUUGCCUUCCCAUUGCCCACAGCCACUGGGAGAAGCAUGGAAAGGAGCGGCCGGGAGCCAGGAAUGCCCAUGUUUAGUCUACUGCAGUCUGCACAUCCAGCCCCGGAGCACGCGGGUUCAGCACCAUCGGGGAGAGAAACCGCUGGGACGUGGAGGGGGGGAAUGAAGUUCUUGGCUGGCUGUUGCCUGCAUCAAGCCCAGACCGAUGUUCUGACGCGCGGGAGGAUCUGCGGGCUCGCUGCAGGAUUUCCUCUCCUUUGAGGACGAGCCAUGUGCGCCCGCAGCUCAUCAUGCUUUUUUUUUCCCCCACGUCAUCUUGCUCCUGAGUUCUGUGCAGAGAGGGCUGAGCCCCUUCCGGCUCAAAACUUCACGUUCAGGGGGCAAAAAGGGCGUGCAAAUGCUGCGUUCUGGCACUGAACCCCAGGAGACCCAGGAGAGCCGGCACGGAGCCGUGCCCAGACACUGCCCUCCACAUCCAGCCCGCGACGUUUGGGGAGGGAGCAGUGUCAGCACCGCUUCCUGCUACCCCGGAAUGUACAAGCAAGCUCUGCAGGCUCUGGAGGAAAAAAGGAAGAGGAUCGGGACACGGCCCAGCUUCCUCGUGAAUCCCUGGGGGCCAACGUGUGCUAGAGACAGGCCGAGCGCACGAGAAGCGCAGCGAGCAGCUUAUCGCUCCUCUAUUACCUCAGCCUUACAACCCC